UACGGAGGGGGCGAGCGUUAUUCGGAAUUAUUGGGCGUAAAGGGCGCGUAGGCGGCUGUACAAGUCAAAGGUGAAAUCCCUCGGCUCAACUGAGGAACUGCCUUUGAAACUGUACGGCUUGAGGCCGGGAGGGGGUAGCGGAAUUCCCAGUGUAGCGGUGAAAUGCGUAGAUAUCAGGAGGAACACCGGUGGCGAAGGCGGGUCUCUGGGCCGUAACUGACGCUGAGGAGCGAAAGCGUGGGGAGCGAACAGG
rnacentral:rRNA from 1 species